rnacentral:rRNA from 1 species
UACGGAGGGUGCGAGCGUUGUCCGGAAUCACUGGGCGUAAAGGGCGCGUAGGCGGCAGGCCAAGCGUGCGGUGAAAGUCCGGGGCUCAACCCCGGAUCUGCCGUGCGGACUGGUUUGCUAGAGCACUGUAGAGGCGAGUGGAAUUCCGGGUGUAGCGGUGGAAUGCGUAGAGAUCCGGAAGAACACCGGUGGCGAAGGCGGCUCGCUGGGCAGUGGCUGACGCUGAGGCGCGAAAGCGUGGGGAGCGAGCAGG